rnacentral:lncRNA from 1 species
GCCUGCCCCAUGACUACAGGUGGCUUUGGGUAGACACCCAAACACAAACCAUAACAAGAGAAGAAAUGCUCAAACUGCAACCCGAAACAAACUCUCUAAGCUUCUUUGUCUUCUCUGUAUGUUGUCUUCACCACCUCAAACAUUUCAAACUGGUACUUGCAUCUCGCUUUUUAUUUUACAAUCUGUCUCUGGUGGAAGCCCAAUUCACAUAUACUUAUAGGUUUGAAUUCGACCAACAGAUCAUCAAAAUUGUGUAUCCACUGAAGAUGAGAAAUAAGAAAAGUAGAACCUUAGAGAAACUUUAGCCUGGAGAAAUGUCUGAGGAACAUACUUCAAAGCAGCACUGG